AUUGAACGCUGGCGGCAUGCCUUACACAUGCAAGUCGAACGGCAGCAUGAUCUAGCUUGCUAGAUUGAUGGCGAGUGGCGGACGGGUGAGUAAUACAUCGGAACGUGCCCUGUAGUGGGGGAUAACUAGUCGAAUGAUUAGCUAAUACCGCAUACGACCUGAGGGUGAAAGUGGGGGACCGCAAGGCCUCAUGCUAUAGGAGCGGCCGAUGUCUGAUUAGCUAGUUGGUGAGGUAAAGGCCCACCAAGGCGACGAUCAGUAGCUGGUCUGAGGGGACGAUCAGCCACAAUGGGACUGAGACACGGCCCAGACUCCUACGGGAGGCAGCAGUGGGGAAUUUUGGACAAUGGGCGAAAGCCUGAUCCAGCAAUGCCGCGUGUGUGAAGAAGGCCUUCGGGUUGUAAAGCACUUUUGUCCGGAAAGAAAUGGCUCUGGUUAAUACCUGGGGUCGAUGACGGUACCGGAAGAAUAAGGACCGGCUAACUACGUGCCAGCCGCCGCCGUAA
rnacentral:rRNA from 1 species